rnacentral:rRNA from 10 species
CAGAUACCGCCCUAGUUCUAACCAUAAACGAUGCCAGCCAGCGAUCCGUCUGUGUUCCUCAAAUGACACGACGGGCAGCUUCCGGGAAACCAAAGCUUUUGGGUUCCGGGGGAAG